rnacentral:tRNA from 1 species
GGGGCUGGGGCUCAGUGGUAGAGCGCUUGCCUAGUAUGCAUGAGAAACUGGGUUUGAUCUCCGGCACCA